rnacentral:lncRNA from 1 species
UGCUUGACAUUCCCUUUGUCAGCACUAGUAUAUUCCUCCAAUGUGGCAGCUACCUUGAGAGCCGUCGAGAUGUCAUCGGCCUUGGAUCGUCUCAACUCUUGAACCGCCCAAGGUUUAAGCCCGGAUAAGAAGUUGAACAAGAGAUCCUCGUCGCUCAUGUUGUCAAUUUGUAGCAUCAAGUUGGAGAAUGCCUUGACGUACUCCUUGAUCGAAUGGCCCUGCUUGAGGUCCCUCAUUUUCGCCCUAGCCUCGCGCCUUACGUGCACCGGGUAGAACU